UACAGAGGGUGCGAGCGUUAAUCGGAAUUACUGGGCGUAGAGCGCACGUAGGUGGCGACGUAAGUCGGGUGUGAAAGCCCCGGGCUCAACCUGGGAAUUGCAUUCGAGACUGCAUUGCUGGAGUACGGAAGAGGAAGGCGGAAUUCCCGGUGUAGCGGUGAAAUGCGUAGAUAUCGGGAGGAACAUCAGUGGCGAAGGCGGCCUUCUGGUCCAGUACUGACACUCAAGUGCGAAAGCGUGGGGAGCAAACAGG
rnacentral:rRNA from 1 species